CAUCAUCAUCGUCGUCAUCGUCAUGAUCAUCAUCAUCAUCAUCAUCAUCGUCAUCAUCAUCGUCAUCAUCAUCAUCAUCAUCGUCAUCAUCAUCAUCGUCAUCUUCGUGUUUGAUCAUGUCGGCGUCGAGUUCGAGGAGGAAACAUUUCACCCGACUGUGACUAGAGAUGAAGCUCAGGCACAAAAUGUCUCCGGUCGCUCAACUCCGCAACUUCUCACCAUGUGUUCGUCUUGAUCCUCUGGUUUAAUCUCUGUUACAUCAUCCUCAUCAUCAUCAUCAUCAUCAUGAGAGAGGAUCCUGCUGGACACAGUGUUCCUGGUGUGAGGGAGGGAACAGGAGUGUCUUCAUCCGCCCGGCGACAGGCAGCUGCCACCAGCAGCACAGAGGAGGAAGAGGAGGAAGAGGAGGAAGAGGAGAACGGAGGAUGACGACGAUUAAAUAAACGACGCACGACGGAUGAAGAUGAAUUCAUCGGGAAACAAUCGUCCGACGUGUCGUCAGCCUGAAGAGCAGAGAAACAGAGAUAUGAAAAUCAUCUUUCAUUAGGUCGUGUGAGGAGGAGCAAUAUUGUUCCAUCUCCGUCUGGAUCCACGUCAGCGUCACGACCUGAACCUGUUUGUCUCCACUUCCUGGUUCCUCCUGUCAGACAGUCUGUGGUUGGCUCACGCGACGACGCCCGACACUGACUCAGGAUUGGCUGGUUUGUCCCGAUGACGUCACUGCGUGACAUCUGUGACACGUGGACUCUCGUCUUCCUCGGUUCCUCUUCUCGCCGCCUCCUGUCCAUCGUGUACAGAACGAACAGUUCACACCGUUAGAUCCGACCUGAGCGUCGAGUACAUUACUCAUCACUUCACACACAGCAGAAUGAAUGCCAGUGAUUAAAAGUAUUAAUCUGUACAUGUUACUGUACUUUUCUCUUGUGUUGAGUGUUAUUCUACUUGACCUGGUUGUUUAGUGCGAUGGGUCAAUAUCGUGGAAAUAUAAAUGUCAGUGUGACAUUUUCUAUGAGAGACGGAUCAAAGUGUUUGUGAUAAAACAUGAAUGAUUUACAACCAGAGAGGAAACAUGAGACGCAGCAUCGCCGUCGCUUUCCUCCUCAGGCUCCUCGCGGAACUUUGUAUUUACAGGAUUCACUUGUUAAAGAAAGACGACGCCAACAUCUCCAUGGAAACACAUUCAUCUUCAUCCUCAGAGGUCAAAUUCUCUGACAGGAGCUGAAAAUAAACCUGAUCGGUCGUGAACGAAGCGCUGCCUGUUUCUAGGAGACGAGCUGGAAGAAACAUCAGUGUUUUCCUCCCCGAUGGAGCCAGACGUCGUGGUCCUGGAGUCGAACCCGAUGGGAACAACGGGAACAUGUGGACGUGGAUCAGACGCUGAACUGAAAUCAGAAGCUAAACGUCUUUCAGGUUCAGCCAUGAUGAUUUCUUUUCUUCCAGCGUCUCGAUAAAUGUUGUGGCUGUUGGAAUUACCGUUGCUCUGGACCUGAUGGAGACGAGCUCCGUCUCUCAGUGUCUCACUGAUGAUUGGUUAUUUGCCCUGAUCGGCCCUGAAGCUUCCACACUCACCGGGCAGGAGAGCUGCUCCAUCAGACGGACGGAGACGGACAUGUGAGGAACAUUAAUGUUCAAACUAAAUGUAUAAAUGAGAAAAACAAGAAAAACAAACAGACAAACACAACUUGAGCAGUCGCAUCGAACCCCAGCGAAAGAAAUUCAGGCUGGAAAAGGAAUUUUCCCUCU